UACCUUUUUAUCGUUAUUUAAAAUGAUUUUUGUCUUGUAUGAAGUGCCCAUGGAAAGUACAGCAGCGAAUUACGGUUAAUAUUGUUAAUAAGAUCAGACUUUAUUUCAUUAAGAUCAAACCGAGCUAUGAGUGGUUAAAUGUAAUUCAAACAAGCAUUUACCUAAUGAUUUUUUACAUUUUUAUGCGUUUUCCUCAUCAGUAAAUAUGGUAUCUGUUCAUUUACAGUUGUUUGUCCGUAUUUUUCUAAACUGCCGUGCGCGGGAAGUGAUGUGACGUCCCAAUCACCCGCUCACUCCCUCUGCACCUGCGUGAGUCUGACUGGAUUAACGGUAAACGUCAGUUUGUCUGUGAGAGUGUGAAAGGUUCUUUCAUUUUGUUUAUAAGUACAUGUUACAGGUGUGUUGGUGUAAAAAUUGAUGCUGACUGAACUCGGGCAGUUGUGCUGGACCAUCUGUACUUAGUACAGGGGAUGACAGUAAACUUUCAAGCUAAAGAGCCACCUGAUGAUGAGAGAGACAAUUUCAAUGUGGGCAUCUUGAUGAAGAGUCCACAGUCACAAUAACAAGAUCAUUGGGCUGUCCCCUAAUUGUGGUGAGCUACAUGUUUAGUCUCUUAUGUGCUAAACAUUAUGUAGCCUAAGGAAGCAGCCCUGACUCUGGAGUUUAUAUGAAGGAGCAUGCUGAGUAACUAUCCAGAAUGUAGGUCCAAAGCAGAAAAAAGAGCACCAAGCAGAAACAUACCAUCUAAACUCCUUUAAUUCCUGUCAGACCAGAAAGACUUUCAGAAUCCUUGGAAGAUUUAAAGCCAUUGAAGUAUCAGUAUUGGAGCGGAAGAAGACCCAGUUGUAUCGUCCGUUUCCUGCCAUCUUGCAGUUUAACCUGGUUUCUUAAUGUAAAGUACUUGUAAUUUGCCCACUUGUCCUCAAUUAUCUUAAAGCUAACAUUUAAAACUAAUUUGCUAUGAAAUUAUUUGCCAAGACUUCUCACUGUGUGAUUCACAUGUCAAUAUGUAUUAUUGUGUGUAUAACUAGCUAUUUGGAAUUCAAAUGAUUUGUAUUCAUUAAAGAAUCUGUUU